UACCGGCGGCUCGAGUGGUGGCCACUAUUACUGGGCUUAAAGCGUUCGUAGCUGGUUUGUUAAGUCUCUGGGGAAAUCUUCCGGCUUAACCGGAAGGCGUCUCAGGGAUACUGGCAGACUAGGGACCGGGAGAGGUGAGGGGUACUCCAGGGGUAGGAGUGAAAUCCUGUAAUCCUUGGGGGACCACCUGUGGCGAAGGCGCCUCACCAGAACGGCUCCGACAGUGAGGGACGAAAGCUGGGGGA
rnacentral:rRNA from 1 species